GGGCCUGUGGUCUAGCGGCUUAACCUUUUUGAAAGGAAAGGUUCCGCAAAUGAUAUCGCCUCGACACGGCGGAGGUCACCGGUUCGAAUCCGGUCAGGCCCA
rnacentral:tRNA from 1 species